rnacentral:rRNA from 1 species
GGUUAAGCGACUAAGCGUACACGGUGGAUGCCCUGGCAGUCAGAGGCGAUGAAGGGCGUGCUAAUCUGCGAUAAGCGCCGGUAAGGUGAUAUGAACCGUUAUAACCGGCGAUACCCGAAUGGGGAAACCCAGUGUGACUCGUCACACUAUCAUUAACUGAAUCCAUAGGUUAAUGAGGCGAACCGGGGGAACUGAAACAUCUAAGUACCCCGAGGAAAAGAAAUCAACCGAGAUUCCCCCAGUAGCGGCGAGCGAACGGGGAGGAGCCCAGAGCCUGAAUCAGCAUGUGUGUUAGUGGAAGCGUCUGGAAAGGCGCGCGAUACAGGGUGACAGCCCCGUACACAAAAGCGCAUGUGCUGUGAGCUCGAUGAGUAGGGCGGGACACGUGGUAUCCUGUCUGAAUAUGGGGGGACCAUCCUCCAAGGCUAAAUACUCCUGACUGACCGAUAGUGAACCAGUACCGUGAGGGAAAGGCGAAAAGAACCCCGGCGAGGGGAGUGAAAAAGAACCUGAAACCGUGUACGUACAAGCAGUGGGAGCACCCUUUGGGGUGUGACUGCGUACCUUUUGUAUAAUGGGUCAGCGACUUAUAUUCUGUAGCAAGGUUAACCGAAUAGGGGAGCCGGAGGGAAACCGAGUCUUAAUUGGGCGUUAAGUUGCAGGGUAUAGACCCGAAACCCGGUGAUCUAGCCAUGGGCAGGUUGAAGGUUGGGUAACACUAACUGGAGGACCGAACCGACUAAUGUUGAAAAAUUAGCGGAUGACCUGUGGCUGGGGGUGAAAGGCCAAUCAAACCGGGAGAUAGCUGGUUCUCCCCGAAAGCUAUUUAGGUAGCGCCUCGUGAAUUCAUCUCCGGGGGUAGAGCACUGUUUCGGCUAGGGGGCCAUCCCGGCUUACCAACCCGAUGCAAACUGCGAAUACCGGAGAAUGUUAUCACGGGAGACACACGGCGGGUGCUAACGUCCGUCGUGAAGAGGGAAACAACCCAGACCGCCAGCUAAGGUCCCAAAGUCAUGGUUAAGUGGGAAACGAUGUGGGAAGGCCCAGACAGCCAGGAUGUUGGCUUAGAAGCAGCCAUCAUUUAAAGAAAGCGUAAUAGCUCACUGGUCGAGUCGGCCUGCGCGGAAGAUGUAACGGGGCUAAACCAUGCACCGAAGCUGCGGCAGCGACACUGAUGCGUUGUUGGGUAGGGGAGCGUUCUGUAAGCCUGUGAAGGUGGCCUGUGAGGGUUGCUGGAGGUAUCAGAAGUGCGAAUGCUGACAUAAGUAACGAUAAAGCGGGUGAAAAGCCCGCUCGCCGGAAGACCAAGGGUUCCUGUCCAACGUUAAUCGGGGCAGGGUGAGUCGACCCCUAAGGCGAGGCCGAAAGGCGUAGUCGAUGGGAAACGGGUUAAUAUUCCCGUACUUGGUGUUACUGCGAAGGGGGGACGGAGAAGGCUAUGUUGGCCGGGCGACGGUUGUCCCGGUUUAAGCGUGUAGGUGUGUGUUCCAGGUAAAUCCGGUUCACUUUAACACUGAGGCGUGAUGACGAGGCACUACGGUGCUGAAGCAACAAAUGCCCUGCUUCCAGGAAAAGCCUCUAAGCAUCAGGUAACAUCAAAUCGUACCCCAAACCGACACAGGUGGUCAGGUAGAGAAUACCAAGGCGCUUGAGAGAACUCGGGUGAAGGAACUAGGCAAAAUGGUGCCGUAACUUCGGGAGAAGGCACGCUGACACGUAGGUGAAGUGAUUUACUCACGGAGCUGAAGUCAGUCGAAGAUACCAGCUGGCUGCAACUGUUUAUUAAAAACACAGCACUGUGCAAACACGAAAGUGGACGUAUACGGUGUGACGCCUGCCCGGUGCCGGAAGGUUAAUUGAUGGGGUCAGCGCAAGCGAAGCUCCUGAUCGAAGCCCCGGUAAACGGCGGCCGUAACUAUAACGGUCCUAAGGUAGCGAAAUUCCUUGUCGGGUAAGUUCCGACCUGCACGAAUGGCGUAAUGAUGGCCAGGCUGUCUCCACCCGAGACUCAGUGAAAUUGAACUCGCUGUGAAGAUGCAGUGUACCCGCGGCAAGACGGAAAGACCCCGUGAACCUUUACUAUAGCUUGACACUGAACAUUGAGCCUUGAUGUGUAGGAUAGGUGGGAGGCUUUGAAGUGUGGACGCCAGUCUGCAUGGAGCCGACCUUGAAAUACCACCCUUUAAUGUUUGAUGUUCUAACGUGGACCCGUAAUCCGGGUUGCGGACAGUGUCUGGUGGGUAGUUUGACUGGGGCGGUCUCCUCCUAAAGAGUAACGGAGGAGCACGAAGGUUGGCUAAUCCUGGUCGGACAUCAGGAGGUUAGUGCAAUGGCAUAAGCCAGCUUGACUGCGAGCGUGACGGCGCGAGCAGGUGCGAAAGCAGGUCAUAGUGAUCCGGUGGUUCUGAAUGGAAGGGCCAUCGCUCAACGGAUAAAAGGUACUCCGGGGAUAACAGGCUGAUACCGCCCAAGAGUUCAUAUCGACGGCGGUGUUUGGCACCUCGAUGUCGGCUCAUCACAUCCUGGGGCUGAAGUAGGUCCCAAGGGUAUGGCUGUUCGCCAUUUAAAGUGGUACGCGAGCUGGGUUUAGAACGUCGUGAGACAGUUCGGUCCCUAUCUGCCGUGGGCGCUGGAGAACUGAGGGGGGCUGCUCCUAGUACGAGAGGACCGGAGUGGACGCAUCACUGGUGUUCGGGUUGUCAUGCCAAUGGCACUGCCCGGUAGCUAAAUGCGGAAGAGAUAAGUGCUGAAAGCAUCUAAGCACGAAACUUGCCCCGAGAUGAGUUCUCCCUGAGACUUAGAGUCUCCUGAAGGAACGUUGAAGACGACGACGUUGAUAGGCCGGGUGUGUAAGCGCAGCGAUGCGUUGAGCUAACCGGUACUAAUGAACCGUGAGGCUUAACCUU